rnacentral:rRNA from 1 species
CUUGUACACACCGCCCGUCAAGUCACGAAAGUUGGUAACACCCGAAGCCGGUGGCCUAACCCUUGUGGGGGGAGCCGUCGAAGGUGGGACCAGCGAUUGGGACUAAGUCGUAACAAGGUAGCCGUACCGGAAGGUGCGGCUGGAUCACCUCCUUU